rnacentral:rRNA from 1 species
GACGAACGCUGGCGGCGUGCUUAACACAUGCAAGUCAAGGGGAAAGUUUCUUUCGGGGAACGAGUAUACUGGCGGACGGGUGAGUAACGCGUAGGUGACCUGCCCUUGGAAUCGGGAUAACACUGCUAACGCGGUGCUAAUACCGGAUGAUGCCCUGAUGCUGCAUGGUAUUAGGGUGAAAGCGGGCUUUCGGGCUCGUGUUUGAGGAUGGACCUGCGUCCCAUUAGCUUGUUGGCGGGGUAACGGCCCACCAAGGCGACGAUGGGUAGCCGACCUGAGAGGGUGAACGGCCACACUGGGACUGAGAUACGGCCCAGACUCCUACGGGAGGCUG